rnacentral:tRNA from 1 species
GGAGGCUACAGCUCAGUGGUAGAGCGCAUGCUUAACGUACAUGAGUUCCUGGGUUCAAUCCCCAGUAUCUCCA